CUCGGAUAUGGGAAGCCCUGGGGUCACAACACUCAGUCCCCCCCCCAGAUAUGGGAAGCCCUGGGGUCACCACACUCAAUCCCCUCCCCCAGAUAUGGGAAGCCCUGGGGUCACCACACUCAAGGCCCCCCCCC